rnacentral:rRNA from 1 species
GAUGAACGCUGGCGGCGUGCCUAAUACAUGCAAGUAGAACGCUGAAGCUUGGUGCUUGCACCGAGCGGAUGAGUUGCGAACGGGUGAGUAACGCGUAGGUAACCUGCCUCUUAGCGGGGGAUAACUAUUGGAAACGAUAGCUAAUACCGCAUAAAAGUCGAUAUCGCAUGAUAUUGAUUUGAAAGGUGCAAAUGCAUCACUAAGAGAUGGACCUGCGUUGUAUUAGCUAGUUGGUGAGGUAACGGCUCACCAAGGCGACGAUACAUAGCCGACCUGAGAGGGUGAUCGGCCACACUGGGACUGAGACACGGCCCAGACUCCUACGGGAGGCAGCAGUAGGGAAUCUUCGGCAAUGGGGGCAACCCUGACCGAGCAACGCCGCGUGAGUGAAGAAGGUUUUCGGAUCGUAAAGCUCUGUUGUAAGAGAAGAACGAGUGUGAGAGUGGAAAGUUCACACUGUGACGGUAACUUACCAGAAAGAGACGGCUAACUACGUG